AGUGAACGCUGGCGGCGUGCCUAAUACAUGCAAGUCGAACGAUGAAGUCCUAGCUUGCUAGGAUGGAUUAGUGGCGCACGGGUGAGUAAUAUAUAGUUAAUCUGCCCUACACAGAGGAACAACAGUUGGAAACGACUGCUAAUACCUCAUACUCCUAUUUGACAUAAGUUAAAUAGGGAAAGUCUUUUCGGUGUAGGAUGAGACUAUAUCGUAUCAGCUAGUUGGUAAGGUAAUGGCUUACCAAGGCUAUGACGCGUAACUGGUCUGAGAGGAUGAUCAGUCACAUUGGAACUGAGACACGGUCCAAACUCCUACGGGAGGCAGCAGUAAGGAAUAUUGCGCAAUGGGGGAAACCCUGACGCAGCAACGCCGCGUGGAGGAUGACACUUUUCGGAGCGUAAACUCCUUUUAUCAGGAAAGAAUAAUGACGGUACCUGAUGAAUAAGCACCGGCUAACUCCGUG
rnacentral:rRNA from 1 species